UGCAAUUGGGGCAAUACGAUUCACUAAUGGAGCAGCUUUGUCUUUUUUAUCCGAAAAACUAGUAUGGCAUCGGGCCUCGUCGCUACAUCGGCAAGGCACGUGUUUCAUCAGGAAGUUUUUGCUGGCUAGAUACCUCUCUGCACUGGAUACGAGAACAUCAGAACUCCCCAGCUGUUUACACCAAUGAGAUAGGCACUACUUGGGACGUUUGCUUGCGUGUAUGAUGGUUACGACAUUAAUGGAGACAUGAUGGCCACAAGGUAGCGUCGGGAAUCUAAAACAGGAAGCUUUCCAGUUCCAAUUUGGCUGGACGCACGCACACGGCACAAACGCUAAGGAGGCGCUUCUAGAGGAACGGAAAUGUUUCUACCUAGAACCACUACAAAAUAUGUUGAAAUGCAACUAACGAGAAGCUGGUACCGGGGUUAACGAUUCGCAACCGCAAUCGUGAGCUAGAUGUAAUC